rnacentral:rRNA from 1 species
CUGCUGCCUUCCGUAGGAGUCUGGGCCGUGUCUCAGUCCCAAUGUGGCCGUUCAACCUCUCAGUCCGGCUACCAAUCGUCGCCUUGGUGGGCCGUUACCCCGCCAACUAGCUAAUUGGACGCGAGGCCAUCUCAGAGCAAUAAAUCUUUGAUAUGAAAGGGAUGCCCCUCCAUAUGUUAUGCGGUAUUAGCACACCUUUCGGUGUGUUAUCCCCCACUCUGAGGCAGGUUCCUCACGCGUUACUCACCCGUCCG